GGCGUUGCUAUGUCAAGAAAUACAGUCUUCCAUGCAAGAUCAAAGCAUGUAGAGCUUUAACUAUGUACCAGCCAUAGAACAAGUGGCAGACAUAUUGACUAAGCUAUUUCUAACAAGAUUGUUUGUGCAUUCGGUUAACAGUUUGUUGAGUCAUUAAUUACUUCAUUAUUAUGGAUGCAAGAGACUUACCAAUAAUACACAAGAAUUCCAGAUUCUCUCCCAGUCGUCUUAGCUUCCUUUCAGACACCCUUCUUGAUGAAAUCAUCAAGGAUUCAAGAAGCUUCAAGACACAUUUCAAAAGACUGAAAAUAACUAAAUUAUAAUAAAAUUAAAUUCAAUAAAC
rnacentral:lncRNA from 1 species